AUCCAAUUGCCAUGGUAGCUAUACUUCAGUUGUGCUUUCUCUGAUCUCUGUUCUUUACCUGCUUUCAGGUGUUUUGUGAAGCUUAAAAUAACAAACGUGCUCAGAUCAUGGUAGUGGAAAGAUGCCAGGAGAGACACUGUGCCCCAAAGCUGAUAAAAGCAACUAAUGGCAUGCAGAAGAAGCCCCAUAUUUAGAUUUAUUGCUAUAACAACCAAGAAGACUGAUAAGAUUCCACACAUCCCAUAAUUGAGAGGGGUGUGUUUGCAAGAAGGGGUGGACAGAAAGGUGACUAAAAC